rnacentral:rRNA from 1 species
ACUCCUACGGGAGGCAGCAGUGGGUAAUAUUGGACAAUGGGCGCAAGCCUGAUCCAGCAAUGCCGCGUGUGUGAAGAAGGCCUUCGGGUUGUAAAGCACUUUUAUCAGGAGCGAAAUACUGCGGGUUAAUACCCUGCGGGCUGACGUAC